rnacentral:misc_RNA from 1 species
CUUGCCGUAGUUGCUUGACCAUUCUCCUUGCGCAAGUUAGAAAGCACAAGAACUCGAGAUGGUUUGCGUUGUGGUUGUUAAUUGAAAGCAUCUCAGAAUAUCCAAUCUGGAGCACUAGAAUACCUUAUGGGGGUUGUGUGGGUUGUUGGUGAGAGAGAGAGGGCUGAGAUUCUGUGUAGGAACUUCUUCAUGAAGGUCAUACAAAGUGAUGGUGGGGUGUGUGGUAAAGAGAAGCUUUCAGAAAGUACAAAGAGGAAAGCAGUGUGGAAGAAUCUUGUUCCUCACUUGACUUGCAAACAAACACCACAUUGAUACCCUUAAGAAAGGCUCCAAUUUAGGAACCUCAAGUUUUGUUUAGUUUCAGCAGCAUAUCUGAAAGCAUCAGCCAAUCAUAUUUUAAACACAUUUAGAAUAGAUUGGCAUGAAUGCGCUAUUGGUACAAAUAUUCCUUUUCUAGACCUGUGGGGAAAUUGCAUUAAUCCAUAAUGCAAGUAAAACUUUGCUGGGAGAUUAUGAUUGAAUUGAUAAUCAACCAUGUGACUUUCAUCAGUGAGAUAUUUCGCUAGAUGCACACUUGUCAUUACGUAAGCUAGUGGGGAAUAUUUGAUUCUUUGGGGUCUCCCUAAUUAAUUUAUCAUCCUUUAAUGAAGGAACUUACCUGAAGGUUUGAGAAAGGAAUCUCCACAAAACAAAGGAAGUCUAUAUUUAUAGGGGUGGCCAUAAUUAAGAAUUUGCACAAACUGAGAAGAACCUAAGUAACAGUUGCCUCAUCUGUCCCCUAGAUUGUGUCAAGAACAAGUUUUGCAUGCCCAUUUGGGGUUAAUUCUGCAGUCAAUCUUGUUUGUUCUAUGAGAAGUUGAAACUAGAAAUUUCUUAGAGCAGCCAUGAAUAGUAAGGACAGGAGCAAUGAUUCCCUUUGGGAGAAGUCGAUGAAGAUGGUGGUAAACAUCAUUAAACUUUCUUCUUUUUCUAUUGCUAAGAUGAGUCUUGGAGCAACUGGGCCUACAGUUGUUACAAAACAACUGGCACCUGUGACAGGCUCUGUCAUGGAUGCUGAUGGACCAUUACUGCCUCAAAUUCCUCGCAAUCACAAGUCACAACAGGUAAGGAGCAGGACAAAGCCUUUUUCAUUUGUAAUGCAGCUUGAUGAUGGGAAUGGUUCUCCAUAUACCAUUUAUGAAGAGAACAGUGUUAUAGAUGGAAUGGCUUCUGACUAUAUCAGGAAGUUCCAUGAGAAGAAUAGCUACGAUGCAUAUCUCCACGAGACAUCAAAUCUUUCUUCAAGAGCAGUGAAGUAGUCAUCUUGAACUGUAUCUGUAUUUCAAUAUUUACCCAUAUCUGCUAUAAUUAAUGUUUAAGCUUCUAAAUAAGAUUAUGUGUUUUGCUUGCUCGGGCUAGUUGCUGAUUCGUAGUAUAGAAUCUUUAUUCAUUUUGUCCACUGGGUUCUUUACUGCUUGUCUACCAGGGAGGAUUCAUGGUCCUAAACAGAUCUCAAUAUGGAAAUAUUUUUGUAAGAGCAUAUCUUAUAUUCAUUAAUCAUGUGAUUAAAAAAAGAGCCAGACGAAGAAAGGAAAGAACCUCUUUAUCUAUUAUUCCUUGUUGAGGCUAAAAUUUCAAAGGAUUCAUUCCAUUUUAACAAUACUAAAUCAUCUUGAAAUAGUGCCUUGUUCUUGUUGGGCAUCUUAGAGGAGAUUUUCA